GGUUAAGCGACUAAGCGUACACGGUGGAUGCCCUGGCAGUCAGAGGCGAUGAAGGACGUGCUAAUCUGCGAUAAGCGUCGGUAAGGUGAUAUGAACCGUUAUAACCGGCGAUUUCCGAAUGGGGAAACCCAGUGUGAUUCGUCACACUAUCAUUAACUGAAUCCAUAGGUUAAUGAGGCGAACCGGGGGAACUGAAACAUCUAAGUACCCCGAGGAAAAGAAAUCAACCGAGAUUCCCCCAGUAGCGGCGAGCGAACGGGGAGGAGCCCAGAGCCUGAAUCAGUGUGUGUGUUAGUGGAAGCGUCUGGAAAGGCGCGCGAUACAGGGUGACAGCCCCGUACACAAAAAUGCACAUAUUGUGAGCUCGAUGAGUAGGGCGGGACACGUGGUAUCCUGUCUGAAUAUGGGGGGACCAUCCUCCAAGGCUAAAUACUCCUGACUGACCGAUAGUGAACCAGUACCGUGAGGGAAAGGCGAAAAGAACCCCGGCGAGGGGAGUGAAAAAGAACCUGAAACCGUGUACGUACAAGCAGUGGGAGCACGCUUAGGCGUGUGACUGCGUACCUUUUGUAUAAUGGGUCAGCGACUUAUAUUCUGUAGCAAGGUUAACCGAAUAGGGGAGCCGAAGGGAAACCGAGUCUUAACUGGGCGUUAAGUUGCAGGGUAUAGACCCGAAACCCGGUGAUCUAGCCAUGGGCAGGUUGAAGGUUGGGUAACACUAACUGGAGGACCGAACCGACUAAUGUUGAAAAAUUAGCGGAUGACUUGUGGCUGGGGGUGAAAGGCCAAUCAAACCGGGAGAUAGCUGGUUCUCCCCGAAAGCUAUUUAGGUAGCGCCUCGUGAAUUCAUCUCCGGGGGUAGAGCACUGUUUCGGCAAGGGGGUCAUCCCGACUUACCAACCCGAUGCAAACUGCGAAUACCGGAGAAUGUUAUCACGGGAGACACACGGCGGGUGCUAACGUCCGUCGUGAAGAGGGAAACAACCCAGACCGCCAGCUAAGGUCCCAAAGUCAUGGUUAAGUGGGAAACGAUGUGGGAAGGCCCAGACAGCCAGGAUGUUGGCUUAGAAGCAGCCAUCAUUUAAAGAAAGCGUAAUAGCUCACUGGUCGAGUCGGCCUGCGCGGAAGAUGUAACGGGGCUAAACCAUGCACCGAAGCUGCGGCAGCGACGCUUAUGCGUUGUUGGGUAGGGGAGCGUUCUGUAAGCCUGUGAAGGUGUGCUGUGAGGCAUGCUGGAGGUAUCAGAAGUGCGAAUGCUGACAUAAGUAACGAUAAAGCGGGUGAAAAGCCCGCUCGCCGGAAGACCAAGGGUUCCUGUCCAACGUUAAUCGGGGCAGGGUGAGUCGACCCCUAAGGCGAGGCCGAAAGGCGUAGUCGAUGGGAAACAGGUUAAUAUUCCUGUACUUGGUGUUACUGCGAAGGGGGGACGGAGAAGGCUAUGUUGGCCGGGCGACGGUUGUCCCGGUUUAAGCGUGUAGGCUGGUUUUCCAGGCAAAUCCGGAAAAUCAAGGCUGAGGCGUGAUGACGAGGCACUACGGUGCUGAAGCAACAAAUGCCCUGCUUCCAGGAAAAGCCGCUAAGCAUCAGGUAACAUCAAAUCGUACCCCAAACCGACACAGGUGGUCAGGUAGAGAAUACCAAGGCGCUUGAGAGAACUCGGGUGAAGGAACUAGGCAAAAUGGUGCCGUAACUUCGGGAGAAGGCACGCUGAUAUGUAGGUGAAGCGACUUGCUCGUGGAGCUGAAAUCAGUCGAAGAUACCAGCUGGCUGCAACUGUUUAUUAAAAACACAGCACUGUGCAAACACGAAAGUGGACGUAUACGGUGUGACGCCUGCCCGGUGCCGGAAGGUUAAUUGAUGGGGUCAGCGCAAGCGAAGCUCUUGAUCGAAGCCCCGGUAAACGGCGGCCGUAACUAUAACGGUCCUAAGGUAGCGAAAUUCCUUGUCGGGUAAGUUCCGACCUGCACGAAUGGCGUAAUGAUGGCCAGGCUGUCUCCACCCGAGACUCAGUGAAAUUGAACUCGCUGUGAAGAUGCAGUGUACCCGCGGCAAGACGGAAAGACCCCGUGAACCUUUACUAUAGCUUGACACUGAACAUUGAGCCUUGAUGUGUAGGAUAGGUGGGAGGCUUUGAAGUGUGGACGCCAGUCUGCAUGGAGCCGACCUUGAAAUACCACCCUUUAAUGUUUGAUGUUCUAACGUUGACCCGUGAUCCGGGUUGCGGACAGUGUCUGGUGGGUAGUUUGACUGGGGCGGUCUCCUCCUAAAGAGUAACGGAGGAGCACGAAGGUUGGCUAAUCCUGGUCGGACAUCAGGAGGUUAGUGCAAUGGCAUAAGCCAGCUUGACUGCGAGCGUGACGGCGCGAGCAGGUGCGAAAGCAGGUCAUAGUGAUCCGGUGGUUCUGAAUGGAAGGGCCAUCGCUCAACGGAUAAAAGGUACUCCGGGGAUAACAGGCUGAUACCGCCCAAGAGUUCAUAUCGACGGCGGUGUUUGGCACCUCGAUGUCGGCUCAUCACAUCCUGGGGCUGAAGUAGGUCCCAAGGGUAUGGCUGUUCGCCAUUUAAAGUGGUACGCGAGCUGGGUUUAGAACGUCGUGAGACAGUUCGGUCCCUAUCUGCCGUGGGCGCUGGAGAACUGAGGGGGGCUGCUCCUAGUACGAGAGGACCGGAGUGGACGCAUCACUGGUGUUCGGGUUGUCAUGCCAAUGGCACUGCCCGGUAGCUAAAUGCGGAAGAGAUAAGUGCUGAAAGCAUCUAAGCACGAAACUUGCCCCGAGAUGAGUUCUCCCUGACUCCUUGAGAGUCCUGAAGGAACGUUGAAGACGACGACGUUGAUAGGCCGGGUGUGUAAGCGCAGCGAUGCGUUGAGCUAACCGGUACUAAUGAACCGUGAGGCUUAACCUU
rnacentral:rRNA from 1 species